rnacentral:rRNA from 1 species
UGGGGAAUAUUGGGCAAUGGGCGAAAGCCUGACCCAGCCACGCCGCGUGAGUGAUGAAGGCCUUCGGGUCGUAAAGCUCUGUGGGGAGGGACGAAUAAGUCGGUAGUUAAUAACUGCCGGCCCUGACGGUACCUCCUUAGCAAGCACCGGCUAACCAUGUGCCAGCAGCCGCGGUAAUACAGAGGGUGCGAGCGUUGUCCGGAAUCACUGGGCGUAAAGGGCGCGUAGGCGGCUUGAUAAGGUUGCGGUGAAAGCCCGGGGCUCAACCCCGGGUCGGCCGUGGCAACUGUCGAGCUGGAGCACUGUAGAGGCAGGUGGAAUUCCGGGUGUAGCGGUGGAAUGCGUAGAGAUUCCGGGAAGAACACCGGUGGCGAAGGCGGCCUGCUGGGCAGUGGCUGACGCUGAGGCGCGACAGCGUGGGGAGCAAACA